rnacentral:rRNA from 1 species
UACGGAAGGGGCAAGCGUUGUUCGGAAUCAUUGGGCGUAAAGGGCGCGUAGGUGGUUCUGUAUGUCUACCGUGAAAGCGUACGGCUCAACCGUAUUUUGUCGGUGGAAACUGCAGGACUUGAGGCUGGGAGGGGCUGGUGGAAUUCCCUGUGUAGCGGUGAAAUGCGUAGAGAUGGGGGAGAACACUCGUGGCGAAGGCGGCCAGCUAGACCAGUUCUGACACUGGAGGCGCGACAGCGUGGGGAGCAAACAGG